rnacentral:rRNA from 1 species
UGAGUAACACGUAUCCAACCUGCCGUCUACUCUUGGACAGCCUUCUGAAAGGAAGAUUAAUACAAGAUGGCAUCAUGAGUUCACAUGUUCACAUGAUUAAAGGUAUUCCGGUAGACGAUGGGGAUGCGUUCCAUUAGGUUGUUGGUGAGGUAACGGCUCACCAAGCCUUCGAUGGAUAGGGGUUCUGAGAGGAAGGUCCCCCACAUUGGAACUGAGACACGGUCCAA